CCCCAGGCAGAACUGGGCGAAAGGUGCGGCCUGAGACAUUUCUGAGAACCUGUAAAUGUGCCACCUUACCUGGCACAAGAAAAUGAAGGAUGCAGGUGGAAUUAAGAUUGCUAAUCAGCUGACCUGGAGAUGGUGAGAUGGUCCUGGAAUCUCCCAGUGGUGGGCUCAAGUGGAAGAGACCAUCGGAAGAGGAGAAUCAUAAGGAGAUCUGAAGAUGUUAUGGGCCUAAAGAAGGAAGAGGCCCAUGGGCCAAGGGAUGCAGGUGGCCUCUAGAAGAUGGAGAAGACAACAAUAGGAAUCCAAUCCUGGUGUCUCCAGACCAAACACAGCUCUGCCAACACCUUGAUCUUGGCCCAGUGAGACCC